AUGGAGACGGCGGGCCGAGGACCAGGAGGGCGGUAGUCGACGGGGACGAAGGUUUGGUGGGCCUGGUCAUGGGCGUGCUGCGUCGUGGCGGCGUGUGUGGCGGCGGUGGGGCUGGCGGGCGCCGGUGUGCUGGUGUCGUGGGCGGUGGCGUUCCACAUGGCGCGGGAGCAACUCUGGAUGGUGCCCGUCGGGAUCGUCCUCCUCGGCACGCCGCUCGUCGCUUGGCUCUCCCUCUUCGCCUCCGGCGCAUGCCGCCGCCUCGGGACCAGCCUCCUCUGCACGCCGAGCUGCACGGGGAGGAGCCGUGGCCGGAGCUCGCAGUCACCGCGCGUGGCCGGGGCGGAGCUCACCCGCGCCCGCCUGUGCGUGGUGGAGCUCGGCCGCGCCCGUCCGCCUGGGAGUUGCCCUACUCCGGGUCGCGGACGACAUCUCCGCCAAGGCCGAAGUUGA
rnacentral:rRNA from 1 species